GGUUAAGUCCCGCAACGAGCGCAACCCUUAUCAUUUGUUGCCAGCGGUUCGGCCGGGAACUCAAAGGAGACAGCCAGUGAUAAACUGGAGGAAGGUGGGGAUGACGUCAAGUCAUCAAGGCCCUUACGACCAGGGCUACACACGUGCUACAAUGGCAUAUACAAAUAGAAGCUACCUCGCGAGAGCAAGCGGAACUCAUAAAGUAUGUCGUAGUACGGAUUGGAGUCUG
rnacentral:rRNA from 1 species